UCUGUAGUGUUAUAAUGAAAUGGCUUGUCUGUAUGUUAACUGAGGAAGUAAUGCUCUGUUUAGCUGAAAUGUUUGGGUUAUAAUUAUACAUAAUGGAGGAGCUAACCAAUGGGAGCUACGUUAUUCUACCUGUAUAUGUGGGAACCUAAAUCAGUUCGCGGGCUUUUCAGGACGAGAACCGAAGAGGAAGGGCAUGCUGAUCGUGCCCUGGUCGACCACUGUGGUUGGUCCCAGGCAGCGGGUCGAGGACAUCGGAGGAGAUUGAAAGGUGGAAAGAAGACUCUGUUCAACUCCAAUGGUUGUGCAUGAAUUUGUUGAACUCUGGAGUGAAGAAAGGUGCCGCCAGCAAAAACAAAACGAACUACUGCAGUAAGUCGAGAAGUCUGUGGAAGCAACCCACGCGAAUGGAAAGCACAGCCAGGACACCAGAAAGAGGUCAUUCAAUUGAAAGCACCAUGACACUGAGCUGGAAAGGAAUGAGAAGAAUAAACUGUAGCGACACAAAUUGCCGAAGGAACUCAGCAGGCCAGGCAGCAUCAAUGGAAAAGAAUAAACAGUUGAUGUUUCCAGUCGAGACCCUUCCAGCAUCUGCAAAUUUUCUCAUAUUUGAGAAUAAAGUGUAGCAUUAGAGGUGUGUCACCAGGUGAACCGCAAAUAGUAUGCGGCACAAAAGGCAGAUAAAAGUAAAAUCUAAUACCACAGGAGUAUGGCUCAGCAGAAGCCUCUCAAUCAGUCAUACAAAAGUACAGCACAGAAACAGGGCCUUCAGCCAAUCUAGUUCAUGCAGAAUCAUUUAAACUGUCUACUCCCAUCGAUCUGCACCCGAGCCAUUACCCACCAUCCCCCUACCAUGUACAAAUUCAACCUUUUCUUAAAAGCUGAAAUUGAACUCACAUGCUCCACUUGCACGGACAGCUCGUUCCACAUUCCCAUGAUCCUCUGAGUCGUUUCUCCUUAAGUUCCCUGUAAACUUCUCACCUUUCACCCUUAACCCAUGACCUCUACUUUUAAUCUUCCCAGACUUAAGUGGAGAAAGCCUAUUUGCAUUUACCUUAUUAAUACCCCUCAUAAUGUUCUAUACCUCUAUCCAAUCUGCUCUCAUCUUCUACGUUCCUAGGAAUAAACUACUGAAGUUAUUCACUUUCCUUGUAAAUCAGGUUCUCCAGACCCAACAACAUCUUUGUAAAUUUUCUGUACUCUUUCAACCUUGUUUACAUCUUUUCUGUAGGUAGGUCUCCAAAAAGUACCCACAAUACUCUGACCUUACUAACAUCUUAUACAACUUCAACACAACAUUCCAUCUCCUGUACUCAGCACUUUGAUUUACGAAUGCCAAUGUGCCAAAAGCUUUCUUUAGACACCUAUCUACCUGUGCCAUAACUUUCAAUAAAUUAUAGACCUCUGUUCCCAGAUCCUUCAGCUCUACUGCACUCAGACAGUAAGUGUCCUACCAUUCACCAUGUAAGAUCUACUCUGGUUGGUCCAACGGAAGUACAAUAUCUUGCAUUUGUCUGCAUUAAAUUCCAUCUGCCAUUAUUCAGCUCAUUUUACCAGCUGGUCCAGGUUCUGCUGCAAGUUCUGAUAGUCUUCCUUGCUGUCAACUAUAGUCCUAAUCUUAAUGUCAUCUGUGAAUUUGCUGAUUCAGUUGACCAAAUCAUUCAGAUCAUUGUUAUCAAUGACAAACAACAACAGAUUCAACUGCAAUCCCUGCGGUACUCUACUAGUCACAGGUCUCCAGUCAGAGAGGCAACCAUUCACUGCCACUCUCUGGCUUCUCCCUCAAAGCCAAUGUCUAAUCCAAUCUUGAACACCAAGUGAUUUUUUGACCAACCUCCCAUGCAAGACCUUGUCAAAUGCCUUGCUAAAAUCCAUGUGCAUGUAGACAACAUCUACUGCCUUGCCUUCAUCAAUGCAAGGUUGGUUAGACAUGACCAACCGCGCAUGAAGCCAUGCUGACCAUCGCUAGUCAGUCCAUGCCUAUCCAAAUAUUCAUAUUUGGUCCCUUAGAACACAUUCCAUUAACUUUUCCACUACUGAUGAAAGGCUUAUCGGCCGGCGAUUUCGGUUUAUUUUUAGAGCUUUUCUUAAACAGCAGAAAAACAUUAGCUAUCCUCCAAUCCUCUGUACUUCAUCUGUCAUUUUAGCAUGAUUUAAAUAUCUCUGCUAGGGCCCCUGUAAAUUGUGUACUUACCUCCCAGAGGGACCCAGGGAAUACCUUGUUCAGGCCCUGGGGAUUUAUCCACCUUCAUUUGCCUCAAGACAGCAAACUCUAAUCUUUGGAGCGUCUAUAACCUCGCUGCUGCUGUGCCUUACUUCUGUAGACUGUCCGUCACCUGAGUAAAUGCCAAUACAAAAAAUCUGUUUAAGAUCUCCCCCGUCUCUUGACUUCAUGCAUAAAUUACCAUUCUGAUCUUCCAGAGGACCAAAUUUGUCCCUUACAAACCUUUUGCUCUUAACAUAUCUGUACAAUCCCUUAGGAUUCUCCUUCACCUUGUCUACCAGUGCAACCUCAUACUUUCUUUUAUCCCUCCUGAUUUAUUUCUUAAGUGUUGUUAGAUUUUUUUGUACUCCAUAAGCACCUCACUUGCUUCUACCUGCCUCUAGCUGCUAUGUAUCACCUUUAUUUCCAUAACCAGAUUCCCUAAGCCCGUUAUCUUUCCUGUUUAUACUGACAGGCACAUUCAAGCUUUGUACCCUCAAUUUCACUUUUGAAGGCCUCCCACUUACCAAGUACACCUUUGCCAGAAAACACCCUGUCCCAAUCCACACUUACCAGAUUUAUUUCUUAUACCAUCAAAACUGGUCUUUCUCCAAUUUCAAAUCUCAACCAGCGGACCAGACCUAGACUUUUCCCAUAUUUGCUUUGAAACUAAUUGCAUUCUGAUCGCUGGAUGCAAAGCGUUCUGCAGCAUAAACCUCUGUCACCUGCCCUGUCUCAUUCCCCCAGAGCAGAUCAAGUAUUGCACCCUCUCACUGGGACUUCUAUGUGCUGGAGCUUUCCUGAACAUACUUGAGAAACACUAUCCCAUUUAGUCCUUUUACCAUAUGGGAGUCCCAAUUAAAAUCUUCUAUUAUAGCAACCUCAGAAAAUGCUGGAGGAACUCAGCAGGCCAGGCAGCAUCUAUGGUAAAGACCUGCUGAAGGGUCUUGGCUUGAAACAUUGACUGUACUCUUUUCCAUAGAUGCUGCCUGGCCUGCUGAAUUCCUCCAGCAUUUUGUGUGUGUUGCUUGGAUUUACAGCAUCUGCAGAUUUUCUCUUGUUUAUCAUAACAUUAUAUUUCUUGCAACAAUCUGUGAUCUCUCUACAAAUUUGUUCCUCUAAAUCCUGUGGACAGUUGUGUGGCCUAUGAUCUAGCCCCAUUACCGUGGCCAUACCUUCCUUAUUCCUCAGUUCCACCCAUAAAGCCUCACUAAAUUAGUUUUCCAGUCUGUCCUGUCUGAGCAUGACAUUUUCCCAGCCUAAUAACUUCAUCUUUAAUCCCUCACGCUCUAUCAUAUCUAUAACAACGGAACCCCAGAACUCUGAGCUGUCAGUCCUGAUCCUCCGCAGCCGAGUCUCACUAAUGGCUACAGUACCAUAAUUCCAUGUGUUGAUCUGUGCCCUGAGCUCAUCUGCCUUUCCGAAUAUACUUCUUACAAUGAAAUACACACAAUUCAGGAUAUUAGAUGCACCAUGCUCAGCGUUUUGAUUCCCAUCUUUUCUGUGGUCUUACCAACAUCUCUCUCCACUACCUCUCUACCGUGGUCUUACCAACAUCUCUCUCCACUACCUCUCUGCCAUCUGAUCUGGAACUAUGGUUCCCAUCCUCCUGCAACUCUACUCAAAACCCUUUGGUGCAGCACUAGCAAACCUUCCUAUUGGAUAUUAGUGCCCCUCCAGUUCAGGUGGAAACUGACUCUUUUGUUCACGUCCCACCUUCCCUAGACCAACGAUCCAAAAAUCUGACACUCUCCAAAAACCUACACCUACACUUGAGCCACGCAUUAAACUGUAUGAUCUUUCCAAUUUUUGACCUCACUAGCACGUAGCACAGGUAGCAAUCCUAAGAUCACAACCUUUGAGGACCUACCCUUUAACUUAGCACCAAACUCCCUGAACUGACUUAGUACCUCGUCACUCCUCCUACCUUCUGGGGCCACAACCUGUGGUUGAUCACCCUCUCACUUAAGAGUAUCAACCGGUUGAUCUGAGAUGUCCCAGACCCUGGUGCCCAAGAGGCAAUGUGCCAUUAGGAAUCUCAUUCGCAUCCACAGAGCCUCUGUUCUGUUCUCUUAGUGAAUCCCCUAUCACCACAGCUCACCUCUUCACUCACCUUUCCCCUGACUCAGAGACCUGACCGCUGACUUUCUUCUGCUAGGUCAUUACCCCUCUGCCCCUGCCCCCACCCCAAGCUGUAUCCAAAGUGGUAUACCUGUUGAGGAGGGUGCCCACACGGUUACUCUGCACUAGCUAUUUAACACCUUUCAGCCUCCUGACUGUCACCCAGUCUCCUGUGUCCUGCUCCUUGGGUGUAACUACCUCUGUGGUGUCCUAUCUGUCACUGUCUCAGCCUCCUGAAUAAUCCGGAGUUCAUCCAGUUUCAACUCGACGUGGAUUGUUAGAAGCUGCAGCUGGAUGCACUACUUGCACUUGUAGCUGCGUGAGACACCAGAGGUCUCCCUGCCUUUCCACAUCCCGCAAGAGGAGCACUCAACUAACAUCCUUGCUGUUCUAUCUAUGCAAAGACAAAGGAACGAAAAUAAUGAAUAAACUUGGGUGGGGGGGGGGGGGAAGAAUCUACCUACAGCUUUUCACUUUCUCUCAGUCAAACCUCAAAGAACUAAAGCCUCAAAAUCUGCACUUUAACACUGUUCACUUCAACAAUGACCGCCCCAAUAAAAGGUGCUCCACUCGCCUCUGCCUCAUCUUAAUUUUUUUCUGCUGAUCAAUCCCAAUUGCUGAUUGGCCACUGCUCAAAACACCUAACUGCCACAAAUUGAUGCCUUAUCUACUCAGUCAGUGAAAUGGAGUGAGCUACGUCAGCGGAGUUGCCCCAAAGGAUAUUAUACAAAUAUUAGAGAACACCUGGCAAAGAUAGUGCAGCCUAGCGCUGAGUCAGUAUAUCCCAUGUGAAUACACAACUCCUUUUCAAUGGCAAGAAUAAAGCAACUACCUUCAAAACUUAAGUGCCAGCUCUAACUACACGAUUAAUUCCAUCACAUCGGUCCUCUCUAAUUAGUGGCCCAAAUGGAGUGACAUAACUGUACUCAGUUUUAUAACUAUAUCCUCUAAUGAUAGCAGCUCAUGUAAAAGUUUCAACCAACUUUCCGAUUCAAGCUACUUUAGCUGUCACAAUAGAGAAACAGACUAGCAUGCUGUUGUAACCAGAACUAGUUCAACUUCAAGUUCAUUGUAAUCUGACAGUGCAUCCACAAAAAUAUAACACAGCACAGAAACCAAAAUAUUACCAUAAAUAAGCUGAUAAAUUCAAAAUGCAUGUAGUGUGCAGCACAAGUAAACAAUACAAUAAACAUUAAACAGCUCGCUGUUGUAGUGAUGAGACCUCGGUGAUGGCAGGGUAUUCAUUAGUCUCACAGUCUGAGGGCAGAAGCAGUUACCCAGUCUGGCAGCCCUAGUCCUGAUUCUCCUGUAGUUCCUUCCUUGUGGUAGUGGGCCAAAGAGAUUGUGUGAUUUGUAGUAGAGAUCUUCAUCAAUACUUUGGGCCCUUUUGGGGGUGGGGGUAGGGAGGAGGAGAGGAAGACCCUGACAAUCCUUUCAGGUGUCGUUACUGUCCUGUAAGAUUUGUGGUCUGAUGUCUUGCAGAUUCUGUACCACACAAUGACGUCACCAGUCAGGACACUCUCGAUGAGUGUCCUGUAGAGCUGCUAGAAUCAGGGAGGGGAGCCUUGCAUGCCUCAAUCUCCUCAGGAAGUUUAUACACCACUGCUUUCUUGACUAGUUAGGAGAUGUUGUGGGACCAGGUUAGAUUGUCUGUUAUGUGCACACCAAGGAACUUUGUGCUCUUCACUCUCUCCAUGGCAGCAUGGCAGAUCCAUUUGAUGUGCAAAGGAGUGAUUGACCUGCACCUCCCCAAAAUCCACAAUCAUCUCUUUUGUCGUGAGACGCUGAGACUCGGAUUGUCAUCCUCGCAGCGUUUGACAAGUCUCACUACCUUCUCUCAGUAUACCAACUCUCAUGAGGCCAACCAUGAUCAUCAGCCAAUUUGAUGAACUCAUACAUCAGCUGAAUUUGAGCUGAACCUGCCAGUGCAGCAAGAACAGCAGUGGGCUGGGCACACAGCUCUGGGGGGGGUGGGGGGAAGGCGGUGUGGAGGCACCGGUGCUCAGCGUGAUGGAGCUUGCGAUGUUGCUGCCAACUCAGACUGACUGGGGACUUUCCAUCAAGAAGUCCAAGUCCCAGUUACAGAGAAGUGUGCCGAGUCCCAGUGAGGACAGUUUUCCCACCAGCUUCUGAGGGACGAUUGUGUUCAACACCAAGCAGAAGUUGACGAACGAUAUCCUGGCAUGAGGGCAACAACGAGUGAAUCUGCAGAUGCUGGAAAUAAAUUUUAAAAACCACACGAAAUGCUGGCAGAACUCAGCAGGCCAGACAGCAUCUAUGGGAGGAGGUGGAAACGUCAUUAUUACCUCCUCCCAUAGAUGCUGUCUGGCCUGCUGAGUUCUGCCAGCAUUUUGUGUUUUUUUUUUAUCCUGGUAUGAGGCAUCAUUUUCUAGAAGGGACAGGACUGAGCGGACGUCCAAGGCUGUGGCACCAUCAGUGGACCAGUUUGAGCGGAAGGCAAACUGCAAAGGAUCUCCUGUAGCCAGAAGAUGGGAUUUUAUAUUUUAUUACAAGCCGCUCAAAGCACUUAAUAAUUCUUGAAGUCAGUGCCACUGGCUGGUAAUCGUUUAGUGUAGUUACCAUUGCUCUCUUGGGCACCAGAACGAUAGUGGCCGCCUCAAAGCCUGCAAAGACAAUGGACUACUGUAUUUCAGAUAGAUAAUAAAGAUGUCCAUUAAGAUCUGUUACCUAGGCCACACAGCCCCUCAACACUUGACCAGGUAUAUCAUUUGACUCCACAGCUUUGCACAGGUUUACCCUGGCUAGGAUCUUGCUCACCUUGGCUGUGGCCAGACAGGGUGCCUGUUCCUCAGAGGGAGAGAAUGCUUUCCUCAAUGUCACAUCAUUCAAUGUGUCAAAUCAUGUAUGGAAGGCAUUCAGCCUAUCAGGAAGGGAGACAUCCCUGUCAUUGACACACAGGGCGGACUUGUAAUCAGAUAAUAGUUGGUAUAGCUUGCCAGAUGGUGUCACGAAGGUGUCUGACAAUGUUCUGUGUGUACUUUUGCUUUCCCUUCCGCACGGCACGGGAGAGCGCUGCUCGUGCUGACUUUAGAGUCAGUCUGUCCCCCGAUAUGAAGGCCGCAUCCCGAUCCCCAAGCAGUAUACGGACCUGUGCAGUCAGCCACGGUUUCUGCUUUGUACUGACAGUGUUGUUUAAUCACAAUAACGUCCUCAAUGCACUUUUCCUAUGUAGCCCAUCACCGAUCUCACAUAUUCCUCAGUGUUGACGUGAUGAUCAUAAGCAGCCGCCUCCCUGAAUAUGCUCCAGUCCAUGCUUUAGUUGCAAUCCGGCACGCUGAGCUGGCAUCUUCUGGCCAGGUCCUGAUCUCUGAGCUGGUGUGAGUAUCCAAAGUGGGGAAGGGGGCAGCCUUGUAGGCUCCAUGAAUGUUGGUAUAAACCAGGUCCAGUGUAUUCUCUCCUCUAGUUGCGAAGUUUUCAUGCUGGUAGAAUGGUUUUUAAGUUGGCCUGACUGAAGUCAUCAAUAACAACGAAGGUGCCAUUGGGUGAAAGGCUUUGAGUUUGCAGAUGGGGCUGGAGAGAUCCUGCUAGCACAGGUGGCGGGGUCGGUGGGGGGGUGUAGGUAUAAACAGCAAUGAUCACAAUGCCAGUGAAUUCCUACAGCAAGUAGAAUGGCCUACAUUUCACUAUUCAAACCACUAUCUGCAGUGAGCCUCAGGCCGUUAUUGCCGAGGCAUUCACACACCAGUUCAUAUUGAUGUAGACGCUCAGAUCUCCUCUGCAGGCCCUGCCAGAAGGUACAGCAUUUUACUUUGCCUGAAAGGAAAUUAGACCAUCUAGCUGGAUGGCUGAGUCUGGAAUGGUGUCCUAGAGCCGUGUUUCCGUCAGAGCAAGUGUCCACCAGUCCCUCACUUCUCGUUGAUUCAGAUGCAGAUGCAGGUAAUCCAGCUUAUUCUCUGGCAAUCGAACAUUAAUGAGUAGAAGAGUUGAAAGUGUGGGCCUGUAGGGAUCCACUUUAGGUUUUGAUUGAAUAGUGAUGCACUUACCACAUUUCCACAAUCAAUGGAACAGCUUACCAGAGUAGCUGUAGUAGACUGCAGAGUAGAGCAAGGGCCCACUCUUCAUGUUAGUUAGUAACCUUUGUUAUUCUGUACACUAGUGAGGUAGACUCAGAUUUUAGUGUCCUCUAUGUUCAGUGGUGCUUUCUGCUCAUAGAAAAGAUGAACAGCACAAGAAAUGUCACUGUUGAAUGGAGCUGGAAUGGCCGCUGCAACUAUCACAAUCUGCUGUAGAGACCUCCGUGACUCAACAUACUGUUCCAAAGAGACCAGUGACGCUAAGCAUCCGUGAAAUCACUGGUUUUUGAAUGCCAUCGAGAUCAGAGCAAGAAGGGUGCCAAAUGUAGUUUUAAAAAUCAGUUGUCCACAAUGUAAAAACCAUUAAUGAUAGCAAGUUCAUUUUUCCAAAUUAAGUCUCUUCUAUACAAUAUGUUUUGAGUAUAUAAAAUCAGGUUCCAGAAAUUGCUUUUAUAUCCUCUGCUGAAGAUUUGUUUGGAUGUUACCCUGAGGCAAUAGCAGUAGCUGUGGCUCUUGUAAAAGACUAAUCUUUAAUUUGAUUCUUCAGCUUCCUCUAUAGCCAUUUUUUCUUCCUUGUCCUACUUCCAUGUAAUCCUCAACUAAGCUCCACAGAAAGCCCUUGUGACUAAUAUAUAGAUUUUUUUCUCCAAAACUAAAUAAAAGGCAGCUGAAAAAUCCCUUCCUAAUGGAAAAUCUAAGUCAAAAUGUUAUCAAUUGUUCCAGUCAAAGUGAUUGUUUCAGGUAGAGUUUGUGGAAUUAUGAAGCCAGUGAGGUUCCUUUCCAAAUCAAUGUACCAGACAGAUAAUGUAUCUGUAACCUUUACUUGAGAUAGGUGCAAUUCUGGUUGAAAUAUUCAUACUUACCCUCAUUCUCUUUUAAAUUCGCUGCAUUUGUUACUUGGGAUAGAGGAAUCAGAACCAUUGUGUGCCUCUUCCUUAUCACCAUUCUCUUAAUUUGGCAUUUGUUUGAGAAAUGCAUAAUUGGGACAUGGGUUAUUCCCUAAAUUUUGUAUUUCUCUACAGGAAGCACCCAACCAUUACUGGUAGAACAGUACAGAACUUUAGACCCUAUAUCUCAGAAUGAAUGCCAAAGGUUCAAAGCAAAUAAGAGUUAACUUAAGACAUUCUCAAUAAAGUGAUAAUUCUCUGUAAGAAAUGCAAAGGGUAAACAGAAAGUCAUGUUUAACAGAAUAUUUGAGGCGAGUACAUCUAUGACUUUAUUCAGAUGGGUGGCUUAUUGACUUAAUUCUUGAUUUAAAAGUACUCUGGAGACUAAAUUCAUAUAUACACUUGACGUUUAUUGUUAAAAGAAUAAUUACUAGUGUCAUAGGAUAAUGCAUCAUUGAGCACUUUAAAUUGCAAUUUCUCAAAUUCAUAUUUGUAAAACAAACCUUUUAAGCAAAAAGCUUUUGAAAUGCUUGCAGAAUUGACAAUAACAAAUUUCACACUUCAUGACUGAGCAGAUUUAUGGCUUAUUAUAUUUCUUCAAUAAUAAUGACAGUUAAUUGCUAUUACGUUCUCUAUAAUGCAUUCUUAAGGAAGUAAUUUUAAAUAUUACUCCUCUUAAGAAAUUCUGCAGCUGGAAGCUUAUGAAUGCCAUUAAAGAUAUCUAUUAUAAUAAAACCAUACAAAAUUUGACUUCAUAUCAUAGAGAUACCAUAUGUAGUUAGUUAUUUGAAAUAUUAUGUAAAAGCAUGUCAGUUAGAAAUUCUAGAUCUGAUCCUGUUUUGAGUUCAGGAUUAACAGUGUGUCCUGUAACAUUUUAUGUCAAUUCACCUUAUUUUCAACAAGUGCAGAAAAAAUUCUCAAAGCAUGAAAUCUAUUACAAACAGUUAUAUCAAAAUAUUAAUGGCAGGCCAGAAAAAGUAUUUCAAGGAUAUUCUUAAAGUCUCCUUAAAAUGUAUAACAUCUUUACUGAUUGAUGGAAGUCCCUGGUGUUGACUGGUUAAACUAGAGGGGAACAUUUAGAAAGGUGUAGAUCACCUCAGUGUCCGGAACAAGAGAACAGGGAGGUCAUGUGUAAAAUGCAGAAACAAUUUAACACCACCCAUCAACCAUCACCUUCCCUGCCUGUGGGUGAGGCUGCACAUAACAGAUAGGGCUCUUCAUCUGCUUCAGAAUCCAUGAAAUGGAGAUAAAGCAAAUGGUCCUCAACUCUGAGUGAUCGAACAGCACAGCAGAGGAACAGGCCAUUCAGCCCACUAUGUUGUGUCAAACCAAUUAGUAACCUCUUCUGCCUACAAUGUCUAUAUCCUUCCAUUUUCUUCACAUUCAUGUGCUUAUCUAAACACCUCUUAAAAAUCCCUACUAUAUCUGCUCUACCACCACCCUGGGCAGCACAUUCUAGAUACCCACCGCUCACUGUAUAAAAUAACUUGUUUCUCACAUCUCCUUUGAACUUACCCCUUUUACCUUAAGUGCAUGCCCUCUGGUAUUAGACAUUUCAACUCUGGGACAAAGAUGGUGGCUGUCUACUCUAUCCAUGCCUUUCGCAAUCUUAUAAACCUUGAUCAGAUCUUGCCUCAGCUUCUGCUGCUCUAGAGAAAGCAACCCUAGGUUGCCCAGCUUCUCAUUGUAGCACAUGCCCUCUAAUCCAGGCUGCCCCCUGGUAAACCUCUCUGCACCCUCUCCAAACCUUCAAUAUUCUUUUAGGACAACCAGAACUGUAUGCAAUACUGCAGAUACAGCCUCACUAGAGUUUUAUAAAACUGCCACAUAACUUCCUGACUUCUGAACUCAAUGCCUCCUCUAAUAAAGGCAGGCAUGCUUCAUGCUUUCUUAACCUUUGUAGCUACUUCAGAGAGCUACGAACCUGGACCCCAAGAUCACUCAACUUAUCAACACUGUUAAGGGUGUUGCCCUUAACAAUCUACUGUCUCUGAACAUUUGAAUCUAAGAAGAAAGUCUUACUAUCAAUGUCUGGGCCAGUGAUGGUAGACAUAACAAUGAAGAUCUUUAACAAUUGUGUGUAUCUAUAUAUCCCAAUUUUAUUGAAAAUUAGGAAUUAAGAAUAAAUAAUUUUCAUCAACAAAAUUAAGUGUGUGUUCAUGUAAACCUCAAUUCAUUUUAAAUUGUAUUGGCAAGUUUACC